rnacentral:lncRNA from 1 species
AUACCCAGGUGCCCAUGUUUAUCUCCACGGCGCAGCCUCCGGGUUCUGGAAUUUUCUUGGUCACUUCCAGAUAUUGUAGAGAAUUCCGGAAGAGCACCGCAGACAGCCCAGGCGCGGCCCGGCCGAGGCUUAAACACGUUUUCUUAAAUCACCAGAUUCCGCCACCAACCUGCAAAGUUCAUGGUUUUUUUCUCUCUGCGAAACUCUUGCCUUUGAAACCUCCUGCAGGGGUUCCUGUACCCCCAGAGAUUGAACAAUUCAAAACCUUCAGGACCCCUGUCCGGAGGCCCCCAAAUCCCCUUUGGUGAGGGCUGCGGCCGGCGAGGAAAGGGCGCUUGACCCUGUCACGAAAGCAAAUUCGGUCGGGUCCUCCAGAACCACCUUCUCAUUUUCUCCUGUUUACCUCACAGCCAAGAAUGAGAUAAUAAAACAGAGAAAGAAAUAGAGACGGGAGGGUUGGGGGCAGUUUCCACGGUUUCUUCAAGCACAGUUCCUGCAGGGUUGUCUGGUUUGCACAGAGAGGCUGUUGGCUCCUGGACGUGGGUCCUUGGGGGACCUUCGAUUUCUCGCCGGGUCCAGGGUGGCCCCGGCGGGAGGAGGACCUCGCCCACAUUCCUGGGAUUCCUUCUCUCCUUCCCACAUUGUUUGUUUGUUGACUUUAAAUUGGACUCUGCCAGGAAUUCCUUUUCCUCUUGGGUUUAGUGGUGAGCAGGAGGGACUUAGCAUAUCACAGAGCCCCCGGCAGCCAAGCUACCGGGUGUCCUGGCCCCCUUCAGUUCCCUCCCUUGUCCUCCUCGAGGACCCCCCAACUCAGGCACCCACACCACGGGGGGCUGCGGGACCCCGAGCCUCACUCGUGCCACCGGCCACCCAGCGUCCCCUGCAUCUUCCCCGGGGACUCACACACCGCCUCGAGGCCACUCCGCCCCUCCGGAUGGAUGUCCAAGCCUCCAGCCAGGGCCCCUUCCCUGCUUCAUCUCCAGGGUUGACGGAGGUCGAAGGAGCACAUGUCUGCUUGCAGGGCACGCCAGGUCCUGAUGGACACUGACGUCUAGACCUAGACGGUGGCUCAGCCUGAACCCUGGACGGCCUGGAGCACAGCCAUGCAACUGCUUCUAAGACAAAACCGAGCAGGAGCAUCUGCCAACGUCUCCACAUUGUGGACCUGAGAUUGUUCUCCGGAAGCUGCAGUCGGAGCAUCGCCAGGCCCAGCCCUGGGUCCUCCACCCGGGCCACUGCCUCUCAGGCGGCCUCUCCCUGCCCCCGCCCCUCCGGGGCCCCACAGGGCGGCCAGUGCAGACCUGGGUGUGCAACGGCCCCAUCAGCGUUUGUUUCAUGAACAAAUAAAUGUCUAAAUUCAGGACCCA